rnacentral:sRNA from 1 species
GGUACAUCUUGAUUGUGCACUGAACCAGAAAUAUUUGGUUGACUUCAACAAGAAAGAUAAAGACCAGCAACGUCCAGACCCAGCAUCAUCUGGUCUCAGAAAGUGCAAGAGAGCUGGAAUUGGACACACAGCAGUAAGAGAGCUUCCUGAAGAAUAAGUUGCUUUCUCAGGAGUCCCUGAUGACAAACAUCCUGAAUGAAAAAAGCACCUGAGAGACAACUUGGGGGACCGCCUUUCAUUAUGUGUGCAAGAGGAGAAACAGCAAUACAUCUGUGCUUCCAAAUGUUCGUUAAGAUUGUGGUGUUUAGAAAUAUUUUUGUUAUGAUUUUAAUUGAAAUUUUCUUUUU